GACGAACGCUGGCGGCGUGCUUAACACAUGCAAGUCGAGCGGCGCGGCGAACGGGUGAGUAACGCGUGAGUAAUUGCCCCCCUCUCUGGGAUAACAGUUGGAAACGGCUUCUAAUACCGGAUAGUGGGGGAUGACUCGCGGCCUAUCAGCUUGUUGGUGGGGUAGUGGCAUACCAAGGGGACGACGGUUAGCCGGCCUGAGAGGGCGACCGGCCACAUGGGGCUGCGAUAAGGCGCAAACUCAUAUGGGAGGCAGUAGAGGGGAAUAUUGCACAAGGGGGGAAGCCCUGAUGCAGCAACGCCGGGAGCGGAAGGACGGCUUUCGGGUUGUAAACCGCUUUCAGCCAUGACGCGGUAGUGGCAGAAGAAGCACCGGCUAACUACGUGCCAGCAGCCGCGGUAAUAC
rnacentral:rRNA from 1 species